CCUAGGCAGCAUUGCCCCAUUGUUCAGAGGGGGAAACUGAGGCACAUACAUGUGCAUUCAAUCCUGCUUGUCAGAGCCAGAGAGAGAACCCAGGAGUCCUGGAUCCCAGCAACCCACCAGACCCCACUCCCCUCCGAAAGCCAGGGAGAGAACCCAGGAGUCCUGGCCCCCAGCCCCCCUGCUCUAACCCACCAGUCCCCACUACCCUCCCAGAGCCAGAGAGAACCCAGGAGUCCUUUGGAAAUUGUCUGAAUGAUGGCGGACUGGAGGGAGGUCUCAUGUGGGGUUCCACAGGGAUCUGUUCUGGGUCCGGGGGUGUUUUAGACUUUUAUUAACUACCAGGAUGAGAGCAAACUGAUCCAGUUUACAGAUGGCACAAAGCGAGGGGGGUUGCCAAACCUUUAGAGGACAGAGCUAAAAAUCAGAGGGAUCUUGAUAAAUCGGAGAACGGGGCUAUCACCAACACAAUGCAUUUCAAUGGAGGCCCAUGGAUGGUGGAAAAACCAAACGCACAAUUACAGACUGGAGGAAAACUGGCCGGGCGGUAGCCCGGCUGCAAAGGAGCUGGGAGUUGUGGUGGAUCAUAACCUCGACAUGAGUCAGUAACGUGACGCUGUUGCAAACACGACCUGGUGGAAGGCCUCAAGGGCAGUAGAGGCAAACUGAAGCAGGAUUGCCUCUCGACGGCUGCCAAGGCGGACGAAGGGCUACCCCCGCUCGUCUUGGACCUCCUGGACCCCGGACACGGGUGCCUCUCCCACCACAAUCUGUGUGGCUGCAGUUUGAUGUUCCUGUUCACAUGCUCGGUGUAAAUCAAUCCUGUUUUGUGUGUGAACGAGGAAUGUGCGUGUUAGAAGACAAGUGUGAAGGCCAUCGCUGGACCAGAUGUUCUAGGGAGGAUCCCAGGACAGACGUAAAGGCGCCAGGAGGCUGCAACACACCGGAGGGCAGAUUGACGACUCCAAAGAUGAGGCAGGCACCGAUCAAUGGAGACAAGAUAGCGGCGAUCAACGCGGCCUGGGGUAACUCCCCGACAGACCGAUGAAGGAACAAGAUAAAAAGGAUGAGAAGAUUGAUUACAGCAUGACAGUGCAAAACGCAUCGGUCCCCAAUGAAGGAGACUCACUAUAGAAACAGGGGGCCUUGCCAUGAAACUUUGGGUUCAUCUUGCCAAGACUUCCCUGAAGCACUGUGUCGCAACAGACAGAACCUGGCUUGUCCUCACCCGUGAUCAACCUAGCUGGCCACUAGAUUGAUCCGGACUCUGGACUCGUAACUAGAACAUCAACUGAUGGGACAAAGUGAGAGAGAGAGAGAGAGUGUUUCCAAUAAACGCAGCGUAUUGCCUUUUCCCCUGAAAAA